rnacentral:rRNA from 1 species
GACGAACGCUGGCGGCGUGCUUAACACAUGCAAGUCGAACGGUGAAGCUCCAGCUUGCUGGAGUGGAUCAGUGGCGAACGGGUGAGUAACACGUGAGCAACCUGCCCCUGACUCUGGAAUAAGCGCUGGAAACGGCGUCUAAUACUGGAUACGAGAAGGGUCCGCAUGGGCACUUUCUGGAAAGUUUUUCGGUUGGGGAUGGGCUCGCGGCCUAUCAGCUUGUUGGUGAGGUAAUGGCUCACCAAGGCGACGACGGGUAGCCGGCCUGAGAGGGCGACCGGCCACACUGGGACUGAGACACGGCCCAGACUCCUACGGGAGGCAGCAGUGGUGAAUAUUGCACAAUGGGCGAAAGCCUGAUGCAGCGACGCCGCGUGAGGGAUGACGGCCUUCGGGUUGUAAACCUCUUUCAGCAGGGAAGAAGCGAAAGUGACGGUACCUGCAGAAGAAGCACCGGCUAACUACGUG